UGAGCGACUCUUGAUCUUGGAGUCACGAAUUCAAGCCCCACGUUGGGUGUGGAGGUUACUCAAACAAAAACUUUUAAAAAACACAGCUGGUAGGUUGUAUGAAACACUAACUACUAGGGAAGCCAGUUCAAAACGUACUUAAAAAUCAAUCAAGUCAACUCCCAGUGAAUAAUGGCUUUAUUCACAGAGAAUGCAAGUCAGAAACGAGAAGUGUCCACAUGGAAGAAGCAUUCAUACGCUGUUAAAAACACAAACUCUGAGGUGCCACAUUGAAAGUUAUUCACCUGGGAAGACAACCGGAGCCCUCGUUGGACCCUGUCACCCCCUGCACUGGAAUGGCCUCGUAGACACCACAAACAGUGUUGGAGGAGGAUCCAUAACCCAUUGACCCUGCUGGUGGGCUGCAUUAUUUCUGAAGAGCAACUUCUCAAUAUGUAGCAAGAGCUAAAAAUCUUUUAAGGCAUUUAAUCUGUUCCACUUUAGGAAGGAGAAAAGAGAAGGAAAGAUCACAAAGGGGAAAAUGAACUUUGUGCAAGUAUGUAACAGCAUUAUUUUUCAUAGUAAAAAUAAGAAACAUCUCUAACGCAUAAGGAAAAGGGUUUAGGCAACUGCUCAAUGUUAGCAGAAUAGAACGCAGUACACUAUUUAUUAUGUGCGUUUCGUUGAUCCAUGAAAAUCUGUAUGUAAAGCUGUAACAAAUAAAGCUCAACAAGGGAUAAAUA